rnacentral:rRNA from 1 species
GAUGAACGCUGGCGGCGUGCCUAAUACAUGCAAGUCGAGCGAACAGACGAGGAGCUUGCUCCUCUGACGUUAGCGGCGGACGGGUGAGUAACACGUGGAUAACCUACCUAUAAGACUGGGAUGACUUCGGGAAACCGGAGCUAAUACCGGAUAAUAUAUUGAACCGCAUGGUUCAAUAGUGAAAGACGGUUUUGCUGUCACUUAUAGAUGGAUCCGCGCCGCAUUAGCUAGUUGGUAAGGUAACGGCUUACCAAGGCAACGAUGCGUAGCCGACCUGAGAGGGUGAUCGGCCACACUGGAACUGAGACACGGUCCAGACUCCUACGGGAGGCAGCAGUAGGGAAUCUUCCGCAAUGGGCGAAAGCUUGACGGAGCAACGCCGCGUGAGUGAUGAAGGUCUUCGGAUCGUAAAACUCUGUUAUUAGGGAAGAACAAAUGUGUAAGUAACUAUGCACGUCUUGACGGUACCUAAUCAGAAAGCCACGGCUAACUACGUG